CCCUUAGAUGUUCUGGGCCGCACGCGCGCUACACUGAUGAAUGCAACGAGCUCUACCCUUGACCGAAAGGCCCGGGUAAACUUGCGAAACUUCAUCGUGAUGGGGAUAGAUUAUUGCAAUUAUUAAUCUUCAACGAGGAAUUCCUAGUAAGCGCGAGUCAUCAGCUCGCGUUGAUUACGUCCCUGCCCUUUGUACACACCGCCCGUCGCUCCUACCGAUUGAAUGGUCCGGUGAAAUCUUCGGAUUGCUGACCAAGAUCCAGCAAUGGAGCUUGGUUGCGAGAAGUUGAUUAAACCUUAUUAUUUAGAGGAAGGAGAAGUCGUAACA
rnacentral:rRNA from 1 species